rnacentral:rRNA from 1 species
GUGGGGAAUAUUGGACAAUGGGCGAAAGCCUGAUCCAGCCAUGCCGCGUGUGUGAAGAAGGUCUUCGGAUUGUAAAGCACUUUAAGUUGGGAGGAAGGGCAGUAAGUUAAUACCUUGCUGUUUUGACGUUACCGACAGAAUAAGCACCGGCUAACUUUGUGCCAGCAGCCGCGGUAAUACGAAGGGUGCAAGCGUUAAUCGGAAUUACUGGGCGUAAAGCGCGCGUAGGUGGUUUUGUAAGUUGGAGGUGAAAUCCCCGGGCUCAACCUGGGAACUGCCUCCGAAACUGCAUGACUAGAGUACGGUAGAGGGUAGUGGAAUUUCCUGUGUAGCGGUGAAAUGCGUAGAUAUAGGGAGGAACACCAGUGGCGAAGGCGACUACCUGGACUGAUACUGACACUGAGGUGCGAAAGCGUGGGGAGCAAACAGGAUUAGAAACCCUGGUAGUCC